CACAGAUUGUUUCCAAAAUGGUUAACCUAGUAUUCAACUCCAGUCAGUUUCCUAGUAUAAAAGUAAGCAGCAUAUGGAGGGAUGCAAUAGCAGUAUGUGUGAUUACCGGUUUUGUGUGUUUCAUUUUGUAUCAGUUACUUCUACAGUGGCGAGACGAGAAAGAAUUCGAUUUGUUUAUGGGGAGCUGCAGAGAUGACCAUGACAGAGUAAUGCAAAUUCCUAAGUUUU